rnacentral:sRNA from 1 species
CUGAAAUGAUAUCGGUCGAACAGGAUCUGGCGU